rfam:Flavobacterium frigoris PS1 66_18, whole genome shotgun sequence.
CAACCUCUGGCGAGAUCCGUGAAUGUUG